rnacentral:rRNA from 1 species
UGGGGAAUUUUGGACAAUGGGCGAAAGCCUGAUCCAGCCAUGCCGCGUGCAGGAUGAAGGCCUUCGGGUUGUAAACUGCUUUUGUACGGAACGAAAAGACUCCUUCUAAUAAAGGGGGUCCAUGACGGUACCGUAAGAAUAAGCACCGGCUAACUACGUGGCAGCAGCCGCGGUAAUACGUAGGGUGCGAGCGUUAAUCGGAAUUACUGGGCGUAAAGCGUGCGCAGGCGGUUAUAUAAGACAGUUGUGAAAUCCCCGGGCUCAACCUGGGAACUGCAUCUGUGACUGUAUAGCUAGAGUACGGUAGAGGGGGAUGGAAUUCCGCGUGUAGCAGUGAAAUGCGUAGAUAUGCGGAGGAACACCGAUGGCGAAGGCAAUCCCCUGGACCUGUACUGACGCUCAUGCACGAAAGCGUGGGGAGCAAACA